AUUAGGAAUGAGCUAGGACCAAGAGAACCAACUUUAGAGUAUAUCUAUAAACAUAAGAACUCAAUUUUGGAGCCUUCAGAGAGGAAGAGAAGUUCCUCUAACACCUGCACAGUGAUCAAGUACAGAGACCCUGGCCCAGGAUAUACAGUAAAGUGGUAAACACCCAACAAACGUGUGUCUCUGCAGCGUGUGCUGACUCAGUGGUGCAAGCGUCUUACUGAAGUGUCCCAAGCUAUCGAAUGUUACUUAUUACUCAGGCCAAAGUUAACAAACUCACAAGCACAUGCAUCGCCAAGGAAAGCAGAGGAGGAGAAGAGGCGCCGUGUGACUGGAGCUGCAGACUGUUGGGAGCACCGUGUGGGUGCUGGGGAUUGGGCUUGGGUCCUCAGGUCUCUUAACUGCUAAGCCAUCUUUCCAUUAAAUGUUUCUUUCAUAUGA
rnacentral:lncRNA from 1 species